rnacentral:rRNA from 1 species
AUUGAACGCUGGCGGCAGGCUUAACACAUGCAAGUCGAGCGGGGUGAUGGUGCUUGCACUAUCACUUAGCGGCGGACGGGUGAGUAAUGCUUAGGAAUCUGCCUAUUAGUGGGGGACAACAUCUCGAAAGGGAUGCUAAUACUGCAUACGUCCUACGGGAGAAAGCAGGGGAUCACUUGUGACCUUGCGCUAAUAGAUGAGCCUAAGUCGGAUUAGCUAGUUGGUGGGGUAAAGGCCUACCAAGGCGACGAUCUGUAGCGGGUCUGAGAGGAUGAGCCGCCACACUGGGACUGAGACACGGCCCAGACUCCUACGGGAGGCAGCAGUGGGGAAUAUUGGACAAUGGGGGGAGCCCUGAUCCAGCCAUGCCGCGUGUGUGAAGAAGGCCUUAUGGUUGUAAAGCACUGUAAGCGAGGAGGAGGCUCUUUUGGUUAAUACCCAAGAUGAGUGGACGUUACUCGCAGAAUAAGCACCGGCUAACUCUGUGCCAGCCGCCGCCGUAA